AAUCAACUUUUUAAAUCUGGGUGUGCCUGCUCAAAAUUUUAGUUUUUCUUUUUUACUUUUUCAGAUACUAAUUAUGGAAGGCUUCUUUGGGCAAACAAAGAGAGCUGCACUGAACUUCUUGAGACCCUUAAGAUCAGCUUAUCAACACACAUUCAAGCAUUACAGCGAUAAAACGUAUAGAUCGAAGGGCAGAGGUGAUAAUUAUUCGAACUCCUUGAAAAUACUACAUUCGCAAAUGAGUUUAAUAAGAAAUAGAAAACUAUACGAACG